rnacentral:rRNA from 1 species
UGCUGGGAUGGAUUAGGUGGCGAACGGGUGAGUAACACNCUGAAGAUAACCUGCCCUUAACUCUGGNAUAAUACUGGGAAACUGGGUCUAAUACCGGAUAGGAGCGUCCACCGCAUGGUGGGUGUUGGAAAGAUUUAUCGGUUUUGGAUGGACUCGCGGCCUAUCAGCUUGUUGGUGAGGUAAUGGCUCACCAAGGCGACGACGGGUAGCCGGCCUGAGAGGGUGACCGGCCACACUGGGACUGAGACACGGCCCANACUCCUACGGGAGGCAGCAGUGGGNAAUAUUGCACAAUGGGCGCAAGCCUGAUGCAGCGACNCCGCGUGAGGGAUGACGGCCUUCGGGUUGUAAACCUCUUUCAGUAGGGAAGAAGCGAAAGUGACGGUACCUGCANAAGAAGCACCGGCUAACUACGUGCCAGCAGCCGCGGUAAUACGUAGGGUGCGAGCGUUAUCCGGAAUUAUUGGGCGUAAAGAGCUCGUAGGCGGUUUGUCGCGUCUGUCGUGAAAGUCCGGGGCUUAACCCCGGAUCUGCGGUGGGUACGGGCAGACUAGAGUGCAGUAGGGGAGACUGGAAUUCCUGGUGUAGCGGUGGAAUGCGCANAUAUCAGGAGGAACACCGAUGGCGAAGGCAGGUCUCUGGGCUGUAACUGACGCUGAGGAGCGAAAGCAUGGGGAGCGAACAGGAUUAGAUACCCUGG